UGCCAUGACCUGACUGCGACUGGAGCAGG
rnacentral:piRNA from 1 species